UUUAAAAAAAAUAUGUGGGCACUGUAGUUCUUGGCAAACAUUUCUCAAACAGAAGAAAUAGUGCGUCUGUUGGGGACCAUUUUCAGAUGCAGAUUA